UACGGGGGGGCAAGCGUUGUUCGGAAUUACUGGGCGUAAAGGGCUCGUAGGCGGCCAACUAAGUCAGACGUGAAAUCCCUCGGCUUAACCGGGGAACUGCGUCUGAUACUGGAUGGCUUGAGGUUGGGAGAGGGAUGCGGAAUUCCAGGUGUAGCGGUGAAAUGCGUAGAUAUCUGGAGGAACACCGGUGGCGAAGGCGGCAUCCUGGACCAAUUCUGACGCUGAGGAGCGAAAGCCAGGGGAGGCAAAACGGGG
rnacentral:rRNA from 1 species